rnacentral:piRNA from 1 species
UGCACGUAACAUACAGAAUAUAUGCAGGCA